AGAGUUGAUCCUGGCUCAGGAUGAACGCUGGCGGCGUGCUUAACACAUGCAAGUCGAACGGAACAGAAGUUUUCGGAUUUCUGUUUAGUGGCGGACGGGUGAGUAACGCGUGGGUAACCUACCUCAAACAGGGGGAUAACGGUUGGAAACGACCGCUAAUACCGCAUAAGCCCACAGGACCGCAUGGUCCAGAGGGAAAAGAUUUAUCGGUUUGAGAUGGACCCGCGUCUGAUUAGUUAGUUGGUGGGGUAACGGCCUACCAAGACGACGAUCAGUAGCCGACCUGAGAGGGUGAUCGGCCACAUUGGGACUGAGACACGGCCCAAACUCCUACGGGAGGCAGCAGUGGGGAAUAUUGCGCAAUGGGGGAAACCCUGACGCAGCAACGCCGCGUGAGUGAAGAAGUAUUUCGGUAUGUAAAGCUCUAUCAGCGGGGACGAAGAUGACGGUACCCGCAGAAGAAGUCCCGGCUAACUACGUGCC
rnacentral:rRNA from 1 species